rnacentral:rRNA from 1 species
GACGAACGCUGGCGGCGUGCCUAAUACAUGCAAGUCGAGCGAAGUUUUUCUGGUGCUUGCACCGGAAAAACUUAGCGGCGAACGGGUGAGUAACACGUAAAGAACCUGCCUCAUAGACUGGGACAACUAUUGGAAACGAUAGCUAAUACCGGAUAACAGCAUUAACUGCAUGGUUGAUGUUUAAAAGUUGGUUUUGCUAACACUAUGAGAUGGCUUUGCGGUGCAUUAGCUAGUUGGUGGGGUAAAGGCCUACCAAGGCGACGAUGCAUAGCCGACCUGAGAGGGUGAUCGGCCACACUGGGACUGAGACACGGCCCAGACUCCUACGGGAGGCAGCAGUGGGGAAUCUUCCGCAAUGGGCGAAAGCCUGACGGAGCAACGCCGCGUGAGUGAAGAAGGAUUUCGGUUCGUAAAGCUCUGUUGUUAGGGAAGAAUGAUUGUGUAGUAACUAUACACAGUAGAGACGGUACCUAACCAGAAAGCCACGGCUAACUACGUGCCAGCAGCCGCGGUAAUACGUAGGUGGCAAGCGUUGUCCGGAAUUAUUGGGCGUAAAGCGCGCGCAGGUGGUUUAAUAAGUCUGAUGUGAAAGCCCACGGCUCAACCGUGGAGGGUCAUUGGAAACUGUUAAACUUGAGUGCAGGAGAGAAAAGUGGAAUUCCUAGUGUAGCGGUGAAAUGCGUAGAGAUUAGGAGGAACACCAGUGGCGAAGGCGGCUUUUUGGCCUGUAACUGACACUGAGGCGCGAAAGCGUGGGGAGCAAACAGG